GACGAACGCUGGCGGCGUGCUUAACACAUGCAAGUCGAACGGAAAGGCCCUGCUUUUGUGGGCUGCUCGAGUGGCGAACGGGUGAGUAACACGUGAGUAACCUGCCCUUGACUUUGGGAUAACUUCAGGAAACUGGGGCUAAUACCGGAUAGGAGCUGCUGUUGCAUGGUGGGGGUUGGAAAGUUGCGGCGGUUGGGGAUGGACUCGCGGCUGAUGAGCUUGUUGGUGGGGUAGUGGCUUACCAAGGCGUUGACGGGUAGCCGGCCUGGGAGGGUGACCGGCCACAUUGGGACUGAGGUAGGGCCCAGACGCCUACGGGAGGCAGCAGUGGGGAAUAUUGCACAAUGGGCGGAAGCCUGAUGCAGCAACGCCGCGUGCGGGAUGACGGCCUUCGGGUUGUAAACCGCUUUCGCCUGUGACGAAGCGUGAGUGACGGUAAUGGGUAAAGAAGCACCGGCUAACUACGUG
rnacentral:rRNA from 1 species